rnacentral:rRNA from 1 species
GUAACGGCGAGUGAAGCGGCAACAGCUCAAAUUUGAAAUCUGGCCGCAAGGUCCGAGUUGUAAUUUGCAGAGGAUGCUUUUGGCGAGGUGCCUUCCGAGUUCCCUGGAACGGGACGCCAUAGAGGGUGAGAGCCCCGUACGGUAGGACCACCGAGCCUUUGUAAAGCUCCUUCGACGAGUCGAGUAGUUUGGGAAUGCUGCUCUAAAUGGGAGGUGUACGUCUUCUAAAGCUAAAUACCGGCCAGAGACCGAUAGCGCACAAGUAGAGUGAUCGAAAGAUGAAAAGCACUUUGAAAAGAGGGUUAAAAAGUACGUGAAAUUGUUGAAAGGGAAGCAUUCAUGACCAGACUUGGGCUUGGUUGAACAUCCGGCGUUCUCGCCGGUGCACUCUGCCAGUCCAGGCCAGCAUCAGUUUGCCCCGGGGGACAAAGGCGGUGGGAAUGUGGCUCUCUCCGGGGAGUGUUAUAGCCCGCCGUGUAAUGCCCUGGGGCGGACUGAGGAACGCGCUUCGGCUCGGAUGCUGGCGUAAUGGUCAUCAAUGACCCGUCUUGAAACACGGACCAAGGAGUCGUCUUCGUAUGCGAGUGUUCGGGUGUCAAACCCCUACGCGAAAUGAAAGUGAACGUAGGUGAGAGCUUCGGCGCAUCACCGACCGAUCCUGAUGUUCUC